rnacentral:rRNA from 1 species
CCUACGGGUGGCAGCAGUGGGGAAUAUUGCACAAUGGGGGAAACCCUGAUGCAGCGACGCCGCGUGAGUGAAGAAGUAUCUCGGUGCGUAAAGCUCUAUCAGCAGGGAAGAAAAUGACGGUACCUGACUACGAAGCCCCGGCUAAAUACGUGCCCACAGCCGCGGUAAUACGUAGGGGGCAAGCGUUAUCCGGAUUUACUGGGUGUAAAGGGAGCGUAGACGGGAGUAUAAGUCUGGAGUGAAAUCCCGGGGCUUAACCCCGGAACUGCUGUGGAAACUGUGCGGCUAGAGUGCAGGAGGGGUAAGCGGAAUGCCUAGUGUAGCGGGGAAAUGCGUAGAUAUUAGGAAGAACACCGGUUGCGAAGGCAGCUUACUGGUCUGUAACUGACGUUGAGGCUCGAAAGCGUGGGUAGCAAACAGGAUUAGAUACCCGAGUAGUC